rnacentral:rRNA from 1 species
AUUGAACGCUGGCGGCAUGCCUUACACAUGCAAGUCGAACGGUAACGGGCCUUCGGGUGCCGACGAGUGGCGCACGGGUGCGUAAUACAUCGGAACGUGCCCGAUCGUGGGGGAUAACGAGGCGAAAGCUUUGCUAAUACCGCAUACGAUCUACGGAUGACAGCAGGGGACCGCAAGGCCUUGCGCGGACGGAGCGGCCGAUGGCAGAUUAGGUAGUUGGUGGGAUAAAAGCUUACCAAGCCGACGAUCUGUAGCUGGUCUGAGAGGAUGAUCAGCCACACUGGGACUGAGACACGGCCCAGAGUCCUACGGGAGGCAGCAGUGGGGAAUUUUGGACAAUGGGCGCAAGCCUGAUCCAGCCAUGCCGCGUGCAGGAUGAAGGCCUUCGGGUUGUAAACUGCUUUUGUACGGAACGAAAAGCCUUCUUUUAAUACAGGAGGGUCAUGACGGUACCGUAAGAAUAAGCACCGGCUAACUACGUG